rnacentral:rRNA from 1 species
AUUGAACGCUGGCGGCAGGCCUAACACAUUCAAGUCGAGCGAGCGGCGGACUGGUGAGUAAUGUAUGGGGACUGCCCGAUAGCGGGGGAUAACUACUGGAAACGGUGGCUAAUACCGCAUACUAUCGGAUAACCCAUAUGUGAUUAGCUAGUAGGUGGGGUAAAGGCUCACCUAGGCGACGAUCGCUAGCUGGUCUGAGAGGAUGAUCAGCCACACUGGGACUGAGACACGGCCCAGACUCCUACGUAGGCAGCAGUGGGUAAUAUUGCACAAGGGGCGCAAGCCUGAUGCAGCCAUGCCGCGUUUAUGAAGAAGGCCUUAGGUUUGUAAAGUACGUGCAGCGGUGAGGCUUUACCCGAAGAAGAAGCACCGGCUAACUCCGUGCCAGCAGCCGCGGUAAGUC